rnacentral:rRNA from 2 species
GUCUGGUGGGUAGUUUGACUGGGGCGGUCUCCUCCUAAAGAGUAACGGAGGAGCACGAAGGUUGGCUAAUCCUGGUCGGACAUCAGGAGGUUAGUGCAAUGGCAUAAGCCAGCUUGACUGCGAGCGUGACGGCGCGAGCAGGUGCGAAAGCAGGUCAUAGUGAUCCGGUGGUUCUGAAUGGAAGGGCCAUCGCUCAACGGAUAAAAGGUACUCCGGGGAUAACAGGCUGAUACCGCCCAAGAGUUCAUAUCGACGGCGGUGUUUGGCACCUCGAUGUCGGCUCAUCACAUCCUGGGGCUGAAGUAGGUCCCAAGGGUAUGGCUGUUCGCCAUUUAAAGUGGUACGCGAGCUGGGUUUAGAACGUCGUGAGACAGUUCGGUCCCUAUCUGCCGUGGGCGCUGGAGAACUGAGGGGGGCUGCUCCUAGUACGAGAGGACCGGAGUGGACGCAUCACUGGUGUUCGGGUUGUCAUGCCAAUGGCACUGCCCGGUAGCUAAAUGCGGAAGAGAUAAGUGCUGAAAGCAUCUAAGCACGAAACUUGCCCCGAGAUGAGUUCUCCCUGAGACUUAGAGUCUCCUGAAGGAACGUUGAAGACGACGACGUUGAUAGGCCGGGUGUGUAAGCGCAGCGAUGCGUUGAGCUAACCGGUACUAAUGAACCGUGAGGCUUAACCUUACA